rnacentral:rRNA from 1 species
GAGUUUGAUCCUGGCUCAGAACGAACGCUGGCGGCAUGCCUAACACAUGCAAGUCGAACGAACUCUUCGGAGUUAGUGGCGCACGGGUGCGUAACGCGUGGGAAUCUGCCCUUGGGUACGGAAUAACUCAGAGAAAUUUGUGCUAAUACCGUAUAAUGACUCCGGUCCAAAGAUUUAUCGCCCAAGGAUGAGCCCGCGUAAGAUUAGCUAGUUGGUGGGGUAAAGGCCUACCAAGGCUACGAUCUUUAGCUGGUCUGAGAGGAUGAUCAGCCACACUGGGACUGAGACACGGCCCAGACUCCUACGGGAGGCAGCAGUGGGGAAUAUUGGACAAUGGGCGAAAGCCUGAUCCAGCAAUGCCGCGUGAGUGAUGAAGGCCUUAGGGUUGUAAAGCUCUUUUACCCGGGAUGAUAAUGACAGUACCGGGAGAAUAAGCUCCGGCUAACUCCGUGCCAGCCGCCGCCGUAAG